GAUGAACGCUGGCGGCGUGCCUAAUACAUGCAAGUCGAGCGAACGGACGAGAAGCUUGCUUCUCUGAUGCUAGCGGCGGACGGGUGAGUAACACGUGGAUAACCUACCUAUAAGACUGGGAUAACUUCGGGAAACCGGAGCUAAUACCGGAUGAUAUUUUGAACCGCAUGGUUCAAAAGUGAAAGACGGUCUUGCUGUCACUUAUAGAUGGAUCCGCGCUGCAUUAGCUAGUUGGUAAGGUAACGGCUUACCAAGGCAACGAUGCAUAGCCGACCUGAGAGGGUGAUCGGCCACACUGGAACUGAGACACGGUCCAGACUCCUACGGGAGGCAGCAGUAGGGAAUCUUCCGCAAUGGGCGAAAGCCUGACGGAGCAACGCCGCGUGAGUGAUGAAGGCCUUCGGAUCGUAAAACUCUGUUAUUAGGGAAGAACAUAUGUGUAAGUAACUGUGCACAUCUUGACGGUACCUAAUCAGAAAGCCACGGCUAACUACGUG
rnacentral:rRNA from 1 species